CCUACGGGAGGCAGCAGUGAGGAAUAUUGGUCAAUGGCCGGAAGGCUGAACCAGCCAAGCCGCGUGAAGGACGAAGGUGCCAAGCAUUGUAAACUUCUUUUGUCAAGGGACAAAAUCAGGCUCGAGAGCCUGACCGAGGGUACUUGAAGAACAAGCAUCGGCUAACUCCGUGCCAGCAGCCGCGGUAAUACGGAGGAUGCGAGCGUUAUCCGGAUUUAGUGGGUUUAAAGGGUGGGUAGGCGGGCUGUUAAGUCAGCGGUAAAAGCCCGGGGCUCAACCCCGGCGAGCCGUUGAAACUGGCUGUCUUGAGAUGUCGAGAGGUAUGCGGAAUGCGCAGUGUAGCGGUGAAAUGCUUAGAUAUUGCGCAGAACUCCGAUUGCGAAGGCAGCAUACCGGCGGCGAUCUGACGCUGAGGCACGAAAGCGUGGGUAUCGAACAGGAUUAGAUACCCGUGUAGUC
rnacentral:rRNA from 1 species